GACGUAGGGUGCGAGCGUUGUCCGGAUUUAUUGGGCGUAAAGAGCUCGUAGGUGGCGUGUCGCGUCUGCCGUGAAAGCCCAUGGCUUAACUGUGGGUCUGCGGUGGAUACGGGCAGGCUAGAGGCUGGUAGGGGCAACUGGAAUUCUCGGUGUAGCGGUGAAAUGCGUAGAUAUCGAGAGGAACACCUGCGGCGAAGGCGGGUUGCUGGGCGUGAUGACUGACGCUGGAGGCGCGAAAAGCCCAGGGGAGCGAAACGGGG
rnacentral:rRNA from 1 species